rnacentral:lncRNA from 1 species
UAUUAUUAUGCAAAUUAAAAUAAUUAAUCAAACUUAAUAAGUCUAAUUAAUUAAAAUAGUGCAGUCCAAUUAAAUGGAGAAGCUGCACAGCCCAAUGAAUAAAUUAAAGGCCCAAAGCAUUAAAUAAAAACAUUGGCCCAACUGAAAUAUAAACAAAACUCGGCCCAAGAAAUAAAAUAAAAAAAAUCGGCCCAAGUCAAGCCCUAGCCCAACUGACUCGGCCCACCAUUCAAAGCUCAACCCUAGCCCAACACCCUUUUCUCCCCCUUCCUCAUCAAUCACGCCUCACACUCACUUCAGUCAUUCCUCUCUUUCAAUUUUCGACUGCACGCCCCUCUCUCCCUCUCACGGUUCACGCCAAACCCCACCGCCUCUCUUCUCUCUCCCGAAUUCACGGCCGCCGAGGCCCAUCUCC